rnacentral:rRNA from 1 species
UGUCAACUAGUUGUNGGGNCUUAACNGACUUCGUAGCGCAGNUAACGCGUGAAGUAGACCGCCUGGGGAGUACGGUCGCAAGAUUAAAACUCAAAGGAAUUGACGGGGACCCGCACAAGCGGUGGAUGAUGUGGAUUAAUUCGAUGCAACGCGAAAAACCUUACCUACCCUUGACAUGCCACUAACGAAGCAGAGAUGCGGGGGUGCCCGAAAGGGAAAGUGGACACAGGUGCUGCAUGGCUGUCGUCAGCUCGUGUCGUGAGAUGUUGGGUUAAGUCCCGCAACGAGCGCAACCCUUGUCAUUAAUUGCUAUCAUUAAGGGGCGCACUUUAUUGAGACUGCCGGUGACAAACCGGGGGGAGGGGGGGAUGACGUCAAGGCCUCAUGGCCCUUAUGGGUAGGGCUUCACACG